GCAGUAGCCUAGGUUUUCUAACUAGCCUAGGUAGAGUUCUCAUCCCUUCCCUCUUGCCCCCCACUGCGUUCUUCAGUGGGGUGGGCGGAGACCUCCAUCCCGGGAAACACUGGCCCGGGCAGGCGCCAGAUCUGCUCUUCUUUCCGCGUCUCUCCAACUCUGCCUCCCCCCCACACCGUCACUCGCCUACCCUUGUCCCGCCAGCUUCCUCGGCAUCACCAUGGAGCGCCUGACAGCUAAAUGCAGACCCGAGACCCCGCGCAAACCCGGGGUUCACAGAUGACAUAUCCCCAUGCUGAGCCUGCAACAGAGCGCAAGGCAGAUACUCCCACCCACACAGGAGUCACACUCAAGCCGAGUGAGCCAAGAUUCCGGAUUCCACGUUCCUUUGCCCUCUGCAAGGGGUCCUGCUGCUCACGUGUCUCUGGCCCCCAAAAGCGUGACCAUGUUGACUGUUUGUUUCCCGAGCUCUGUGGGGACACAGAAACCUCCAGCGAAGCAUGGAAACGCAGCAUCGUGUCUUCGCUCUCCUUUCGUUUCCAAACAGGCCAUUUUGGAGACUCCCCAUGUUGCAGGAAACAGGAAUCCCUCAUCAGUCCGUGAUGACUCAGUCCCCUGCCCAGACUACAGGCCCACCAGGCGGCCUCCCUUUUGCUGACACUCCAGGCCUUCCCCCGGCUCGCGAGCUCCCGAGUUUCCAACACAUCGGGCGGGCUCAGGACAGGGUGUGCUUGGAGGCCUCAGGGCCCGGGGCCCACAGUUCUGGGAUCCCCUCUGGUCCUCCACCUUGCCGCGGAAAAAUUGUUUUGGAUCCCUCACCACCCCUCCUGCAAGGCCCCCUCUUGGCCCACACACCCAGAGCCGUCAGGGUUGCCCAGGGGCGAACAGCCGGCCCAGCCCCGCAGGACCUUUUUCUCACAAUGCCCACACCAUCAUCGCUUGUCCCGACGAGGACCCGCCCGUGGCCAACGGGACAGGAAGGGCCUGCUUUGCCCCGCGCUGGCACUAAAGCCCCGGCAGCCUGAUCCCGGGAAAGGGGCUGACGGACACCCAGACACACCCCAACACUACUACGAGCAAACCCACCCCGACACACACACAGGCACACAUGGACACACACACAGACACACACACACACACGGACACACAAAGACACACACACGGACACAUGGACACACGCACACGGACACACACGGACACACACACAAGGACAUACAGACAAAGACACAGACACAGCUUGAAAGAGAGCUAGGGAGACCGGGAUGGAGAGAUAGAAAUGCGGGGAGAGAGAGAAAAGUAGAGGGGGAGAGAGACAGAAGGUGACAGAAGAGCGAGAGUUGGAGGGGGAUGUAGAGAAAGGGAGAGGGUGAGGAAGUUGUAGAGCGAGAGAGACACAGCCUUGGAGAGGGAGGCUCUGCUCAGGUAGACAGGGCACUUUGAGCAGGCCAGGGUGAGGUGGAGGGUGCUUGGGCCAGGCUAGAACACGGGGUCAGGGCCGCCCACGCGGGAAAACCAACGGAGCCCUGAGACGUGUUUUUUUUUUUUUCUUGGAUUGGUUGGUUUCUUUGGAGGUGCGUUUCAUAUGGUCCUUCCUUUGUUUGCUUCUUUCUGUCUCCUUGAUGCGGUGGGCCCCGAGAUUUGUAGAGUGCACCCGUCCAACUGGUGGAACUAUAGCACCGAGCUUGUCCACGGGGCCAGGUCUGGGUCUCUCUCGUGUCCUCGGGACUAGAGUUUACACGACAUUGGUGGCAAUGGGAAACAGGGUGCACAGGGACGGAUUUCUUCGUGGCUGGCGAAGACAAUGUCCUUCCCCCGGGGAAAGCAGCCCACGGGUUCUGGAGCCGAGGUCUUGGCUGGCAACUGUGGGACCUGCUGCCCCAACUUCGAUGGUUGCGGCGGCGCUUGAUGAAUGAAUUGAAUUGCCUGGGGUCCGGGGAGCGGGAAGACACCCCGGAGGGCAGGAAACCCGCACCUGCGCCUUCCAGGUCUACUACCUGCUGCAGCGCCCUGGCUGGAGCCGGGCUCCUGGUGGGGCUGCAGCCAGGCAAAAGAGGUGGGAUGCUGCCACCUGGCGGUAUUGCAGCUGCAGACCCCCACGAGGAGGUUUCAUCUCGACAUAAAUCGUUUUCUUUCUUCAGCUGAUCUGUAUCCCUAAUUUUAGAUUAAUGGUAACUCCACAAAUUUAGAGGCACAAAAUAUGGUUGCCCACACCUUAUAAUCGCAUUACCACCUCCCAUUACCACCACCUUUCCCGCUCCUCCCCACCCUCAUCCCGUAGACUAGGUCUCGCGAUGUUUCCCAGGCUGGCCUCAAACUCCUGCGCUUAAGUUAUUUGCCUGCCUUGGCCUCUCAAAGUGCUGUGAUCAGCCCUGUGAGUCACCAUGCCCAGCCAACCACCACGAAGUUUUGAUUCAGCAGCACUGGGUUGUGGAGCUAAGGACCCACAAAUUUAGAAAAGUUUUUAAAUAUCAUAACGUUUCUGUGAGGAAAUAGUAUUUGGUAUUACAUUUUUAGACUCUUUUAUAAUGUUCUGGUUUUUUCCACUGAGUACAGUACUAAGUAGUAAUUGGAAAAUCACAGCAUAAGUCAUAUUACUUUUUCUAAUACAGAGUACUUGGCUAUUCUCUAAGCUAAACCUGAUCACCUACAUUGAGUAAAAGAAAAAACCCCAGAGUGUGAGGAGACAGGAGAUAGUAGCCAAACAUCCAAAUAGGUGGGAGUGAAUAAGGCAGAUGACACAGAUGAGAUGACCAAAGGUCAAGGAGAAAGCCAGAUCCUAAAGUGUGGUUUGCGAAGCUAUGCUCCAAUGGAAAUCUUUUCCGAGAAGCCCUGAUUUCUUUCUCUUGCUUUCAUUAGAGACAGACAUCUUCUGCCCCUUGCUCUUCAAUUUUCUAGGACUGGACUUCCCCUUCAACGAUCAUUCUUCUAGGUUACAAAGAAAAUCAAAGCCCUUUGCAUGGCUUACAAGGGACUGGAGGACCUGGCUGCUUGCUGUUUUAUUGCUUUUGAGGACAUGGGGUCGUUUGUGAUUUUUAAGGAACUCUAUGUUAAACAUUUUCUAAUUUCCAUUUUGAGUCUUGUCUAAAAUGUGUGAGAGUAGUGGAGAUAUUGGGAUUUGGUUUAGAAAUCCCAGAAACACCACAUCCAGAUGUCGUAUGUUUUCUGCUUUAUAAUUUCAUAUCCUGUGAAGGUUUCAAAUGUGAUUCUACAGAAAUUCAUACUCAAUAAUUUAAUCAGAACACUAAGCCUCUGCCCCAUAUAAUAAAACCAAAUAUUAUCUUACUUCAAAAUUUUAAGUUUUUGGUAUGUAUUGAGGCUAACACUGUAAACACUCUGUGCCAUAAUUCCUAAACUGUAAUACGGUUUAAUGUAUCUACUUUCUACAUUUAAAACAUGUACUUUGCCAUUGAGGAACUUAGAAUAUUGCUGAGCAUGUAUUAAAUACCCAUUUUUUUCUUGAUUUUUAAAUAGUUAUCAUUUUAUAGUUUUCUCUUGUUUAGUUUGAAGCUUACUAGGAUUUUUGUCAUUGAUAUGUAUGUGUGUAUAUAUAUAUAUAUAUACACACACACACACACACACAAGUAUUUACAUAACAUAUGUAAUUGAUAUAUAUGUAUAUGUUUUAUAUAUGCUUUAUGCACACUUAUGGGAAUAUAUGCAUGUGUACAUAACAUUAAUUUUUUGACCAAUAAAAAUUACAUAAUUA